UUAAAAAGCUCGUAGUUGAAUUUCGGGAUUAGUACGCUGGUCGUGCCUUCGGUACGUACUGGUGUUACUGAUUUCUACCUUCUGACGAACCUUCAUGUCAUUAAUUUGGUGUGGUGGGGAAUCAGGACUGUUACUUUGAAAAAAUUAGAGUGUUUAAAGCAGGCUCGCGCUUGAAUACAUUAGCAUGGAAUAAUGAAAUAGGACGUUGAUCCUAUUUUGUUGGUUUCUAGGAUUGACGUAAUGAUUAAUAGGGAUAGUUGGGGG
rnacentral:rRNA from 1 species